GUGUGCUCCUUGUGUAGAACGACUACACAGUGUAAGCGUUGCCUAAAAUUAAAAAAUUUGAGAACGCUUAUUCAGAUAUUACGCAACGGUUUACGAGCGCUAUUUUUGGUACUUUAAAAGCAACCCGGUACAAACGUGGUCUAAAGUAAAAAAAUAUUUCGCACAAAAUUUUUUUCAUUUAAAUUAUUCCCUCUAAAAACUUAAACUAUUCCCUCUAAAAGUUUCCACUAAAGUCUGAACUUUUACUCCUUCUCUAGGGUUUGAAACCCAUAAAACUUCUUCGCUUGAUUUUUCCAAAAUCAGAUAGUCGAUUGCACCAAAUCUUCAUCAAUAAAAGGAAAAGAAAAAAGAUUGCACCCAGUCGGCGAUGCUCUUCAGAAGCAGAAGCUCUGAUUUGCUUCACUUGAUUUCUCCUAAGGUUUGAGUUAUGUCACUCUAUUUCUCCAAACAUCAAGAAAGAUUUGGCAUUCGGGCUUUAUCAAUUUCUUUUGAGACCAACAUAGGGUUUUUUCAAUAUUGAGCUUAGGGGAGCCAGUAUUAAUACCAGACAUGGUAAAGUCAAUUUGACAGUUCAUAGUGCCUCGGGGCAACAUAAGUAUAAUGAACUGUAUUUCGUGAAAAUUAUGGGAAUCCCACAAUUAUAGUACAGACAUAGGUUUGUUGUGUCAAUGAAGAACGAUGACCUCGACAGCAGAGGGGUUUUCUCUAGUAUUACUCAAGCUGGAGUAACAAUAGAAUCAUUCAAGGAAAAUUCUGCGAUGCAAUUGAAAAUGGUGGCCAAAAGUCGAUUUGACCAUUUGAAGUUAAUGAGAAAGACUUUUGGACAACUAGGAUAUGUAUCUUUCAUGAUACAUAUGAAUAUAUUUGAUUUUGUAAAAUUCACAUUAAAUACGUAGC